UACUGGUUUUGAAGGCAUGAGAGGU
rnacentral:misc_RNA from 1 species